UCCAGGUCUGUGUCCACCUUCUUCAACAGCUCCUGGGCAUCCGUAGCAUUCUUCUGGAACUGCCGGAAGGCCAAGCAAGACUCUUGUUUAAAAGAGAGCCCCCAGCUGGCAGAGAGAUCAGACCCCUGCAUGGGCCCAUCACAGCGUUGGGCUGAUCCUCUUUGGUACUAGGCUGGAGGAGUCUUGCAGAAAAAGUCUGAAGUGCCUUGCAGCUCUGCUUGUCAUGGGAGGAACAAGAUAACAGGCCUGGUGGAGAUUGCGAUUGAUGAAG